rnacentral:rRNA from 1 species
UACGGGGCGCAGCAGUUACGGAAACUUUACAAUGCACGAAAGUGUGAUAAGGGGAUCCUAAGUGAUAUAGCUUAUGGUUAUAUCUGUGUAGAAGUGUAAAAUACUUCUAAAGAAAGGGGUGGGCAAUAUCGGUGCCAGCAGCCGCGGUAA